rnacentral:rRNA from 1 species
UACGUAGGGACCAAGCGUUGUCCGGAAUCAUUGGGCGUAAAGAGCGUGUAGGCGGCUUGUUAAGUCUUGCGUGAAAUCUCGGGGCUCAACCCCGAGCGGUCGUGAGAAACUGGCAGGCUAGAGUGCGGGAGAGGAGAGUGGAAUUCCUGGUGUAGCGGUGAAAUGCGCAGAUAUCAGGAAGAACACCCGUGGCGAAGGCGGCUCUCUGGAACGCAACUGACGCUGAGACGCGAAAGCUAGGGGAGCGAACGGG